rnacentral:rRNA from 1 species
UUUACCUUUGAAUCCGGGAUAACUGUUCGAAAGAAUCGAUAAUACCGAAUGAAGUCAAUGUUUCGUAGGAGAUAUUGAUGAAAGACAGCCUUUUUUUGAAAAGCUGUUGUUUGAAGAUGAGUCCGCGCACCAUUAGCUUGUUGGUGGGGUAAAGGCCUACCAAGGCUUUGAUGGUUAGCUGGUCUGAGAGGAUGAUCAGCCACACUGGAACUGACACACGGUCCAGACUCCUACGGGAGGCAGCAGUGAGGAAUUUUGCGCAAUGGGGGCAACCCUGACGCAGCAACGCCGCGUGAGUGAAGAAGGCCCUUGGGUCGUAAAACUCUGUCAAUGGGGAAGAAGUUAUUGCAUAUUAAUAGUAUGUAGUAUUGACGGUACCCAUGAAGGAAGCACCGGCUAACUCCGUGCCAGCAGCCGCGGUAAUACGGGGGGUGCAAGCGUUAUUCGGAAUUAUUGGGCGUAAAGGGCACGCAGGCGGUCCAACAGGUCAGAUGUGAAAGCCCGGGGCUCAACCCUGGAAGUGCAUUUGAAACCGUUGGACUUGAGUACGGUAGAGGAGAGGGGAAUUCCUGGUGUAGAGGUGAAAUUCGUAGAUAUCAGGAGGAACACCGGUGGCGAAGGCGCCUCUCUG